rnacentral:lncRNA from 1 species
UUCAGAUUCCACGUGGUAGCAAAGAGAAACCAGGAUGUGAGUGCCUAUGGCUGGCAUCUCAGGCUCCAUCAAUUCUUUUUAUCUUUUCAUUGAGAAAGAUGUAAAAAGAGGGCAUGCAAUAGAGCUCCUGUGAUUCUGAGAGCUGUUUAAGGAAGAUUAGGCCAGCAAGA